rnacentral:rRNA from 1 species
AUUGAACGCUGGCGGAAUGCUUUACACACGCAAGUCGAACGGUAGAGGGGGCAACCCCUCGAGAGUGGCGAACGGGUGAGUAAUAUAUCGGAACGUGCCCAGUCGUGGGGGAUAACGUAGCGAAAGUUACGCUAAUACCGCAUACGAUCUAAGGAUGAAAGCGGGGGAUCGCAAGACCUCGCGCGAUUGGAGCGGCCGAUAUCAGAUUAGGUAGUUGGUGGGGUAAAGGCUCACCAAGCCAACGAUCUGUAGCUGGUCUGAGAGGACGACCAGCCACACUGGAACUGAGACACGGUCCAGACGCCUACGGGAGUCAGCAGUGGGGAAUUUUGGACAAUGGACGCAAGUCUGAUCCAGCCAUUCCGCGUGCAGGAUGAAGGCCCUCGGGUUGUAAACUGCUUUUGUACGGAACGAAAAGGUCUCUCUUAAUACGGGGGACUCAUGACGGUACCGUAAGAAUAAGCACCGGCUAACUACGUGCCAGCAGCCGCCGUAA